rnacentral:tRNA from 1 species
AUCGUGAUAGCUCAGCUGGUAGAGCAUCUGCUCGGUAAGUAGAGGGUCGCCGGUUCAAUUCCGGCUCGCGGUG